UGUAUAGAACUUCUUUCUGCAAAGAUUAUGCUUCUCUUCACACUGUGUUGGGGGCAAAUCUCAGCUGCACAGAUUCACAGGAAAUGGUUCUGACCCUAGAUCCUGGAAUAGAGUUUCAUGAAGGCUGAAAUGUUCUGGAAGAUGAGGGCCAGAAAAACUCAGCUCAGUUCCGUUAUUUUGAAAAGACUGCUGGGAGAAACUCAAAGUUUAGGUGAUGCUGUAAAGCAGACAACCAAGCUUGAAAAGGAAUUUGGGAGUUGA
rnacentral:lncRNA from 1 species